UGCUGCUACUUGUUUUGUUUUAUCACUUAAUUCACAUAAAAACAAGUGUAUUAAAUGUAUUGUGAGUGUACUAAUUAUGCGUAUUACGUAGGUACCUACAUUGAACAAAAAAUUUCCGAGUUCUGUGUGAAUAAUUCUUAGUUUGGAAGUUGCUUUUAAUUAUUUAAAACGUAUAUUAGUUCAAACUACAAAAUGCCUAUAAAAGGUUUAAAAGUUCUACCUAAUCCAGUGUUCUCAGAGCUGCCACAGAACUACAGGCUGUCGGAGGAACAAAAAUCAUUCUAUUGGGAGAAUGGGUAUCUAGUAAUAAAGGAAUUAAUUGAUUUCACUUCAUUAUAUAGUUACAAACAGCGCUUUCUACAAAUAUGCAAAGGAAUAGUUGACAGCCCCGUUAUGAUUGUCAAAGAACAGGCACUUUUUGAGAAGAACUUAAAACCUGAAGAAUACAUUAAUAAGCUCCAAGAAAUCUUAUACGAUGAUGUGUUCAUGACCUAUGGUGAACAUCCCAGGCUAUUGGAUGUGAUCUCACAGUUCAUUGGUGAUGACAUAACGGCUAUUCACAGCAUGUUCAUCAACAAACCCCCGGGUACCGCCAGACAUCCGCCGCACCAGGAUUUAUUUUAUUUCCCGAUCAGACCUGUGGAUAAGAUCAUAGGCUCAUGGACUGCCGUGGACCAUGUCAAUAAGGAUAAUGGCUGUCUGUAUGUCAUUCCAAAGUCUCAUAAGCAAGAUAUUCUAUACCCCCAUGGUGAUGUGCCGGAGGCCGGUAAACUGUACCACGGGAUUUUGAACGAAGAGACGCUCGCCCGGGAGCACGCCCGUGUCUCCCUGGACAUGGCCCCCGGGGACACCGUGCUGCUGCACCCGCGCCUGCUCCACGGCUCCGGACCCAACCGCACCCAGGCAGAUGCAGUAUAUCCUCACGUUUGUCGCACAGCGCCACCGGAAGGCGAUCACGGUGCACUUCGCGAGCAGCGCGUGCGAGUACGUGGACGUGCGCGGCUCCGUGCAGGAGCGCCUCGCCGCCGACGUGCAGGCCGCCGCCACCCGCCGGGGACUCCGAGUCAGCUACCAGGACAUCUGGAAAUACAAAAGUAAACAAGUCAAAGGUGUGAGAUCAAAUUUGUAAGCAAUACAUUAAGAAAUUUAUAUUUUUAUACGGAAGAGAUUAUUUUAGACUAGCUAGUUGUAUUAAAGCUCCAUCUAUCGUGUCUCGGACAUCUUGUGAGCACGUAACAUCAGAUAGACCGCGCGAUCGUCUGCCGCACUACAAGCAACCAAAACUUGCAUGCUUACAACUGUGGUGGAUAGAUGGCGCUGUAAUAGAAAAAGUUAUUAAUCGGGUACAUUGUAACAUUUUGUUUUUGUAACAGAAUCUAUGCUAUUGUUAUUAAAUGGGUUUAAUUAAUGAUUGUAAAAAUAUAUUAUAUUAGUUUUGGGACGGAACUGUACUGUGAUCGUGUUAAAGUUAUGUAAUAAAGAAAUAUAUGUG
rnacentral:misc_RNA from 1 species